CUGGUCUCUGGUCCCUGCCCAGAGAGGCCAAUGGCAGCACAGGUGACAGGGGCCUGGGUGACCCCCGGGCCAGAGUCCCCAGCUCCAUGCCUAGCACCACCAGGGAGUUCC